UACGGAGGGAGCUAGCGUUGUUCGGAAUUGCUGGGCGUAAAGCGCGCGUAGGCGGCUUUGUAAGUUAGAGGUGAAAGCCCGGGGCUCAACCCCGGAAUUGCCUUUAAGACUGCAUCGCUUGAAUCCGGGAGAGGUGAGUGGAAUUCCGAGUGUAGAGGUGAAAUUCGUAGAUAUUCGGAAGAACACCAGUGGCGAAGGCGGCUCACUGGACCGGCAUUGACGCUGAGGUGCGAAAGCGUGGGGAGCAAACAGG
rnacentral:rRNA from 1 species